rnacentral:rRNA from 16 species
UUAACGAAAACAUAGUCCGAGAAAGAAAAUAGUAUACUUAGGGAAUUGAAACAUCUUAGUACCUAAAGAUUAAUAAAUUAAGGACCCGUUAGUAGUGGCGAGCGAACACGGGUAUGCUUAAAACCUGAUAU